GGGCCUGUAGCUCAGGUGGUAAGAGCGCACGCCUGAUAAGCGUGAGGUCAGUGGUUCAACUCCACUCAGGCCCA
rnacentral:tRNA from 1 species